GAGUCGCGGUGGCGCGUUCGGAUGGGCUUCCCGGGAUCGGGGCCGUCCAGGACGCGAGAUUCCGUUUCGCCUGACGCAUUUGUCUCUCGUCCGAAGGACGCCGCAGUCGGUCGGGCAGCGCAAGCGCGACGGCCUGAGGGGCGGACGACGGCAGGUGGCCGGUGGCACUCCUCGCGGAGGGUCGCCGGUUGUUAGCCGGUCCGCCAGUGGCACGUCGCUCGACCGAGGUAUCACGAGGCCCUCCGGGGCUCUCGCGUCUCCUCCGCCAAAACGGAAGUCGGGACAGACCGUCGCAAGCGAAGGCCGCCGUCCCGCCGCACUCCCUCGGAGUGGGCGGGCGAACGGUCGGCGCCGAUGGCGACGGCGGGCCCGUCGGAGGCUGGAGUCUGGCGGCGAGUAGGUCGGUCACCCACCCGACCCGUCUUGAAACACGGACCAAGGAGUCUAACAUGUGCGCGAGUCAAUGGGUCUUGAACAGGCCCAGGGGCGCAAUGAAAGCAAAGGUCUGCGCACGCAGACCGAGUUGGGAUCCCCCGGCGAGAGCCGGGGGCGCACCAACGACCCGUCCUAUGCGGCUCGCCGCUUGGGCGGAGUGUGAGCGUACACGUUGGGACCCGAAAGAUGGUGAACUAUGCCCGGACAGGACGAAGCCAGA
rnacentral:rRNA from 1 species